rnacentral:lncRNA from 1 species
UUGGAAUGGGCAUAUUUACCCAAUGUCUGUACCCCCAUUGUAUCUAGGAAGUAACUAACUUGCUUUUGAUUUUACAGGCUCAUAGGCAGAAGGGACUUGCCUUGUCUCAGAUGAGACUUUGGACUUGGACUUUUGAGACCAUACUGGAAUGAUUUAAGACUUUGGGGGACUAUUGGAAGGACAUGAUUAUUUUUUGAAUUGUGAGGACAUGAGAUUUGGGAGGGGCCAGGGGCAGAAUGAUAUGGUUUUGCCAUGUCCCCCCGCCCAAAUCUCAUCUUGAAUUAUAGUUCCCAUAAUCCCCACAUGUCAUAGGAAGUAUCUGGUAGGAGGUAAUUGAAUCAUGGGGGUGGUUCCCCCAUGCUAUUCUUGUGAUAGUGAGUUCUCAGGAGAUCUGAUGGUUUUAUAAGGGGCUUCCCCUGCACUUGGUUUUUCAUUCUUCUGUCGCCUGCUGCCAUGUGAAGAAAGAAGUGUUUGCUUCCCCUUCCAUCAUGGUUGGACGUUUCCUGAGGCCUCUCCAGUCAUGCUGAGCUGCUGGAUUGCAAUGGCGAUCUUGGCUCACUUUAACCUCCGCCUCCCAGGUUCAAGCGAUUCUCCUGCCUCAGCCUGCCAAGUAGCUGGGAUUACAGAGGUACCUGGUGCCAGUUCCUGAGACUUGAGGAUUCUGGUUGGUUCUCAGCACAGGAGUCAGCCUGCUCUGAUUUGCUAGUGCGUCUAGAGUGUUGACAGUUGUUUCCAUGGACUUCAAAUCAACCCAACCCUGUGAGCACAGACUUUCAGCACCAGAGUCAGAUUUCCCAAAAAUGCUAUUCUUGAAGCGUAGAGCCAGACUCACAGAUCCUGUAAAGAAAACAGAUCUUUCAGCAAGUGAAACACCCAAUCUUCCAUUGCAUGGGACUCACAGAGGUUCUGAGGGAGAGAUGUGAAUAGAAGGAGUGAUCAUCACUGUGGACUCUAUUUCUUCCAUCUGUGCGUGCAAGAUUUAUAUCUGUAUGUGUUUGUUUUAAAGUUUUAUUGAGGUAUAAUUGAUACACAAUAAUCUGUACCUAUUUAAUGUAUACAAUUUGAUGAGUUUGGACAUACUUAAAUACCUGUGAAACCAUCACCACAAUCAAGGUAAUAGACAUAGCCAUCACCUCCAAAAGUUUCUUUGUGUCCCUUUGUGGUUUGUUUCUGAGAUAAGAACACUUAACAUGUGGACUCUUGACACUCUCCUUGGAUCUCUUAAUUUGAUUGCUGUUGCUGUCACCACAUUGACUUCCUAGCCCUGCUGAUCCUCCUUUAUCACUAGCUCUAGAAAAAAAAACAAACCAAACACCACUAAUUCAUUUAUUCAGUAAUUCAACAAAAAAACCAUUGAGCACUUAAUAUUUGCAGAAUACAUGGCUAGAUGCAGAG